UACGUAGGGGCUAGCGUUGUCCGGAAUCAUUGGGCGUAAAGAGCGUGUAGGACGGCUCGGUAAGUCCGCUGUGAAAGUCCAGGGCUCAACCCUGGAAUGCCAGUGGAAACUGUCGAGCUAGAGUCCGGAAGAGGCGAGUGGAAUUCCUGGUGUAGCGGUGAAAUGCGCAGAUAUCAGGAGGAACACCAAUGGCGAAGCAGCUCGCUGGGACGGUACUGACGCUGAGACGCGAAAGCGUGGGAGCAACAGG
rnacentral:rRNA from 1 species